AGUCAUCGUCAAGCCAUAAACAACAUUAUCUUACUUUGUUUUUCACGGCAAUCCAUUGUCUUUUAACUCCAAUGUUGUACCUUUUUUUAACGUCAUUACAUCCCAUGUUGCAUUAAAAACUCCAAUUAUCCAAUUAUCUUACCCCACAUCACCCUAUGAAUUAUCUUCUUUGUCCUUUCACACACACCAAAACACUAAAAACUGAAUCGAAUCUCUAUAAAUUCUAUCUAAACUUGCAUAUAGAUACACACACACACUCACCCACACACAUACCCACGCACUCGAUUUUCUCAACACAAUAAUUAAUCCGUUCUCUUUCUCUUCCUGUGCAGCUUUAUUUGAGUGAAGACAUGGGGUUGCACCUAGUGGCUCUGGCGAAGGUGAAACUCCUAGGGGUUUCUAAGCUCCAUGGUGCACCAUUUGUAGCCAUCUUGGCAUGGCCAUUCUUUCUAAAAGUAGUAUUGAGUUUGAAACCUUUUCAAAAUCUUAUCAUGUCUGUGGCACAAGAGUCGAGGCUUUUUGUGUUUCAGUUGAACCAGAUAAUCGGUUUUCAAGCUGCUGGUAGAUCUAGAGCUGAUCAUGGAUUUGAUGGAAAUAGGAGAAGAUGGGAGCGAGUUAUCCGAUUAGUGCAGGAAAGGCUGCCGAAUGUUGGCCGGUCGAUGCCGUUUGAAGAUUAUGACCAAAGCUUGCAAGUUCUCUCGAUUGUAGCCUUUUGAGAGAGUGAGAACAAAGUUCAUGGCUUUUCCCAAUGCAAAAGAAGAGGACAGCAGGGGUGCAUUGAUUUUGUUUUUUCUUUAUCAUUUGUCAUCCCUUGUAUCAGUUUUAUACAUUUGAAGCUACCAACAAGAGACUACUUCAUCGCACAAGACACCUUUUUGAUAAUCGACCUCACAAAAAAAUGUUUUCAGAAAGAUUCAUAAUUUAUAGAGCUUAAACAAACUGGUGAUAUAUAUAGAUUGGUCAAACGAGAGCAAACUGUACUCAAAAGCUUACAAUCUUUUAAAAAAAGAACAUGAGUAUGUUACGAGAUAAUUACAAAAAUGACCAAAUACAUGCGCAUUAGCUGCGCUUUUCAAAAUUAUUAUAAAAUAACCAUAUAAUUCUAGAAAAUGCCUUACCAAAUUCUCUGAGUUUAUUAUUUAUUUAUGGAAAAUGUUUUCAUGUGGGGUACACAAAACACCAUCUUACUUUCACACUAAAUUAUUGCCUUUUUUCCGUGCAAAACUUUAAGUUGAAGUACUCCACACACCAUCGUACUUUCGAUAACAUCUCUACUCCGACAUUCAACACCGGUUAUUGAGAUUUUACAUCAUUCAUUCGGUGACUUUUAUUGUGGUGGUGCUGUUGAAUACACGGAUAAAGUGCUUAAGUGUGAUCAAUAAUUACAACUUUUAUCAUUCAAGAAAAAAGAAUGUAUUCCAAAUAUUGUUAGACAUAUAAUCCUCACUUAUUACAUAAGAGAGUUUUAGAGUUAACCUUUUCUGUUGACGAGGAAGAUGAAGAUAUUUCGGCUCAAAUUAAAGUUGAAAUGAUGGAAAGAUCAAAGAUAUAGGGGUGAGUAUGUUGUUGCAAUCCAUCCAUAGUGAACUUACUUUCAUCACGAAACACUUUAUAUCAUUUUUUAUUUUCGGUUUAAUGUUGUUCCUAGAUGAUGAAUUACUUAUAUAACCUUUGAUUUGGUGCGUUUA